AGCGGCCCUGUCAUCUCAGCCUCCUGAGUAGCUGGGGUUACAGAGCUCCUUUCUGACAACUUGCAAUUGAUCCAACAUUUGAAACCUUAUGCAGGAGCCGGACAGCUUGGUUUUGAAUUAUAAUCUUACAAAUUACUGGCUGUGUGUUAAAUCUUUAAAUUACUGGCUGUGUGACUUUGUAUGAAGAAGAAAAUGCUUUGUCAAGAAAUUCUUUUUUGGACUGAAUUCAUUGUUGCAAAAGAUAGUUAUUUUGGAAAGAAAUUGCUUUAACAGUUUCUCCUGCUACACUAUGACUUGUAUGAAUACAUCCAUAGGCAUAGCGAUAGAAUAAUGAACAGAAAAAUUAAGAAGAACCUGAAAUUAAUAAAUACCUAGGUAUUUGUCAGCAAUCCACCUGCCAUUCUGUAAGCUGCCCUACUCAGAAGCCAAAAGGACGAAAAACAUCCAGCAAUGACCUGAGGUCUGCCAACAGUUCAUUGGUGGAGCUUAGAAGUAGAAUCUACCCCAGUGGAGAUUUGAGAUGAUUCGCUAAAUUGUGAUGAUUGAGAGACCAGAGAUAGAACCAUCCAGCUGAGCUGCACCUAGAUUCCUGCCCAUAGAAACUGAGGAGGCAUCACUUCUUAGCCUUUUGGCUAAGAUCAAAUGUAGAAAUUGUGAGUUACUCUGCGUGUGUGUGUGUGUGUGUGUGUGUGUGUUUUAAACCAGUAAGAUUAGGGUAUCUUUUAUUUAGUAAUAGAUAACUAAGAAAGAUUUUGGUGCCUAGAGUUGGAGUGUUUGCCUAACUUAAUUGCAGAAGUGUUGUUGGAACCAGGUAGUAGCCAUUGAGGAGAGUGAUUAUGAAAGCUUAAAGUGCAUCGAACACACUAUUCAUAGACUUUAUGGGUUUGAGGAGCUUGUGGAUGAGUGGAGAAAACAUUAAAACUGAAAGAAAGGCCAUUGUUGUUAUGUAGUUGAAGAACUGUAAUAAACAUUGUCAUCUGCGUUUAUGUGGAAAGAGGAAAGUGUAUUUAAUGAUCUGUGUGAUCUACUUACUAGCAAAAAAAAGAAGCUAGAA
rnacentral:lncRNA from 1 species